GACGAACGCUGGCGGCGUGCCUAAUACAUGCAAGUCGAGCGAAGUUUUUCUGGUGCUUGCACCGGAAAAACUUAGCGGCGAACGGGUGAGUCACACGUAAAGAACCUGCCUCAUAGACUGGGACAACUAUUGGAAACGAUAGCUAAUACCGGAUAAUAGCAUUAACUGCAUGGUUGAUGUUUAAAAGUUGGUUUUGCUAACACUAUGAGAUGGCUUUGCGGUGCAUUAGCUAGUUGGUGGGGUAAAGGCCUACCAAGGCGACGAUGCAUAGCCGACCUGAGAGGGUGAUCGGCCACACUGGGACUGAGACACGGCCCAGACUCCUACGGGAGGCAGCAGUAGGGAAUCUUCCGCAAUGGGCGAAAGCCUGACGGAGCAACGCCGCGUGAGUGAAGAAGGAUUUCGGUUCGUAAAGCUCUGUUGUUAGGGAAGAAUGAUUGUGUAGUAACUAUACACAGUAGAGACGGUACCUAACCAGAAAGCCACGGCUAACUACGUG
rnacentral:rRNA from 1 species